rnacentral:rRNA from 1 species
UGCAGUCGAACGAUGAACUGGAGCUUGCUCCAGGGAUUAGUGGCGAACGGGUGAGUAACACGUGAGUAACCUGCCCUUGACUCUGGGAUAAGCGCUAGAAAUGGCGUCUAAUACCGGAUACGAGCUUCAGCCGCAUGGCUAGGAGUUGGAAAGAAUUUUGGUCAAGGAUGGACUCGCGGCCUAUCAGCUAGUUGGUGAGGUAAUGGCUCACCAAGGCGACGACGGGUAGCCGGCCUGAGAGGGUGACCGGCCACACUGGGACUGAGACACGGCCCAGACUCCUACGGGAGGCAGCAGUGGGGAAUAUUGCACAAUGGGCGAAAGCCUGAUGCAGCAACGCCGCGUGAGGGAUGACGGCCUUCGGGUUGUAAACCUCUUUUAGUAGGGAAGAAGCGAAAGUGACGGUACCUGCAGAAAAAGCACCGGCUAACUACGUGCCA